UCUUGUCUCAAGAAAAAAAAAAAAAGAAAGAAAGAAAGAAAGAAAAAAAAAAAACACUGCAGAACUUCCUAGUUCAAAGAACCAGAGGUUUACAGCCUGCUGAACAAGUGAUUCAGAGGUGUAUACCCACAGCACAGAGCAUCUCGCCACAGUUCAGGUGACAGUGCCUUCCGCUCCAUGAAGAAUAUCUCCAUGGAAAAGGAAUUCCGGGCCAGACGCAGUGGCUCAUGCCGACAGGGUCUCGCUGUGUCACCCAGACUGGAAUGCAG
rnacentral:lncRNA from 1 species